rnacentral:tRNA from 1 species
GUUGGUGUGGCAGAGCUCGGUUUAUUGCAAAAGGCCUAAGCCCUUUACACAGAGGUUCAAGUCCUCUCUCCAACU